AGUGAACGCUGCGGCGUGCCUAAUACAUGCAAGUCGAACGGAAUUUAAAAGAGCUUGCUCUUUUGAAUUUAGUGGCGCACGGGUGAGUAAUAUAUAGCUAAUCUGCCCCUUGCUGGAGGACAACAGUUAGAAAUGACUGCUAAUACUCCAUACUCCUUUUUACCAUAAGAUAAAUCGGGAAAGAAUUUCGGCAAGGGAUGAGACUAUAUCGUAUCAGCUAGUCGGUGGGGUAACGGCCUACCGAGGCUAUGACGCGUAACUGGUCUGAGAGGAUGAUCAGUCACAUUGGAACUGAGACACGGUCCAAACUCCUACGGGAGGCAGCAGUAGGGAAUAUUGCGCAAUGGGGGAAACCCUGACGCAGCAACGCCGCGUGGAGGAUGACACUUUUCGGAGCGUAAACUCCUUUUGUUAGGGAAGAAUAAUGACGGGUACCUAACGAAUAAGCACCGGCUAA
rnacentral:rRNA from 1 species